CGUUUGACUUCGGUCAGGCGUGGCGGACGGGUGAGUAACACGUGGGAACCUGCCCAGAGGUACGGGAUAACCCAGGGAAACUUUGGGACAAUACCGUAUGUGACCUGAGGGUGAAAGAUUUAUCGCCUUUGGAUGGGCCCGCCGUCGGAUUAGGUAGUUGGUGGGGUAAAGGCCUACCAAGCCGACGAUCCGUAGCUGGUCUGAGAGGAUGAUCAGCCACACUGGGACUGAGACACGGCCCAGACUCCUACGGGAGGCAGCAGUGGGGAAUAUUGGACAAUGGGCGCAAGCCUGAUCCAGCAAUGCCGCGUGAGUGAUGAAGGCCUUAGGGUUGUAAAGCUCUUUCGCACGCGACGAUGAUGACGGUAGCGUGAGAAGAAGCCCCGGCUAACUUCGUGCCAGCAGCCGCGGUAAUACGAAGGGGGCUAGCGUUGUUCGGAAUGACUGGGCGUAAAGGGCGCGUAGGCGGUUGAUCAAGUUGGGGGUGAAAGCCCGGGGCUUAACCUCGGAAUUGCCUUCAAGACUGGUCAGCUAGAGUGUGGAAGAGGGUUGUGGAAUUCCCAGUGUAGAGGUGAAAUUCGUAGAUAUUGGGAAGAACACCAGUGGCGAAGGCGACAACCUGGUCCAUUACUGACGCUGAGGC
rnacentral:rRNA from 1 species